CGGCCUGAGGAGCGCGGACCCCGGCGCUCGGCUCCCGGCGCCAUGUGAGGGGGCUCGGGGGCCGCGGGGGGCCGGGCGCUCCCCGCCGGAGGUGUGAACCCACGUCCCUGCCCCCAGGGCCACCUGCAGGACGCGGACACCUACCCCUCAGCAGACGCCGGAGAGAAAUGAGUAGCAACAAAGAGCAGCGGUCAGCAGUGUUCGUGAUCCUCUUUGCCCUCAUCACCAUCCUCAUCCUCUACAGCUCCAACAGUGCCAGUGAGGUCUUCCAUUACGGCUCCCUGCGGGGCCGUAGCCGCCGACCUGUCAACCUCAAGAAGUGGAGCAUCACUGACGGCUAUGUCCCCAUUCUCGGCAACAAGGGAGAAGUCUCAUUCGUGGUUGAGCACAGGCUGGUUUACCAUGGUGAUCGCGGUGGAGUUGUGUGACCACGUGCACGUCUAUGGCAUGGUCCCCCCCAACUACUGCAGCCAGCGGCCCCGCCUCCGGCGCAUGCCCUACCACU
rnacentral:sRNA from 1 species